AUUCAGCUGACGAGUCCCAAAUAGAACGAAGAGGUGCGAAUCCUGGAU
rnacentral:hammerhead_ribozyme from 1 species